UAGGGAAUCUUCGGCAAUGGGGGGAACCCUGACCGAGCAACGCCGCGUGAGUGAAGAAGGUUUUCGGAUCGGAAAGCUCUGUUGUUAAGGAAGAACGAGUGUGAGAAUGGAAAGUUCAUACUGUGACGGUACUUAACCAGAAAGGGACGGCUAACUACGUGCCAGCAGCCGCGGUAAUACGUAGGUGGCAAGCGUUGUCCGGAUUUAUUGGGCGUAAAGCGAGCGCAGGCGGUCAAUUAAGUCUGAUGUGAAAGCCCCCGGCUCAACCGGGGAGGGUCAUUGGAAACUGGUUGACUUGAGUGCAGAAGAGGAGAGUGGAAUUCCAUGUGUAGCGGUGAAAUGCGUAGCUAUAUGGAGGAACACCAGUGGCGAAGGCGACUCUCUGGUCUGUAACUGACGCUGAGGCUCGAAAGCGUGGGGAGCGAACAGG
rnacentral:rRNA from 1 species